rnacentral:misc_RNA from 1 species
GAUGAAGAACGCAGCGAAAUGAGAUAAGUAAUGUGAAUUGCAGAAUUCAGUGAAUCAUCGAAUCUUUGAACGCACCUUGCACUCCUUGGUAUUCCGAGGAGUACGCCUGUUCGAGUGUUAUGAAGCUCUCAAAACGCAAUUGGCUUAAAACCUGAUUGUUGUUUUGGAUUUGAACUUUGCCGUGUUAUAACGGCUGGUUUUAAAAGUAUUAGCUGGUACUAGAACGAAUUGGUUCUACUCAACGUGAUAAUUAUCUGAUCGUUGAGGACAUUCCUUUCACGAGGAAUGGCCAUAGUAAAUUCAAUGGACUGCUUCUAAUCUGGCUUUAAUUCUUUAUUGGAUUAACCACUUUUCAAAUCUGACCUCGAAUCAGGCGGGACUACCCGCUGAACUUAAGCAUAUCAAUAAGCGGAGGA